GACGAACGCUGGCGGCGUGCCUAACACAUGCAAGUCGAACGAGAUCCAUGGGAGCUUGCUCCCGGAAGAUCUAGUGGCGAACGGGUGAGUAACACGUGAGAAACCUGCCCUGGAGUGGGGAAUAACUCGGGGAAACUCGAGCUAAUACCGCAUACCCUCGGAUGGUCGCAUGGCCGACCGAGGAAAGAUUUAUCGCUCUAGGAGGGUCUCGCGGCCUAUCAGCUAGUUGGUGGGGUAACGGCCUACCAAGGCAACGACGGUAGCUGGUUUGAGAGAACGAUCAGCCACACUGGGACUGAGACACGGCCCAGACUCCUACGGGAGGCAGCAGUGGGAAUCUUGCGCAAUGGGCGAAAGCCUGACGCAGCAACGCCGCGUGCGGGAUGACGGCCUUCGUGGUUGUAAACCGCGUUUCAGCAGGGACG
rnacentral:rRNA from 1 species